UCGAACGAGAAAGGUUUCUUCGGAAACCGAGUAAAGUGGCGAACGGGUGAGUAAUGCAUAGAUAACUUGCCCCCGAGAUGGGGAUAACGUCUCGAAAGGGACGCUAAUACCCAGUGUCGUCUUGAGCCUUCGGGUUCAGGAUGAAAGGAGGCCUCUGACUCAAGCUUCCGCUCGGGGAGAGGUUUAUGUCCUAUUAGCUAGUUGGUGAGGUAACGGCUCACCAAGGCCAAGAUGGGUAGCCGACCUGAGAGGGUGACCGGCCACAUUGGGACUGAGACACUGCCCAGACUCCUACGGGAGGCUGCAGUCGAGAAUCUUCCGCAAUGCGCGCAAGCGUGACGGAGCGACGCCGCGUGGGUGAUGAAGGCCUUCGGGUUGUAAAACCCUGUCAGCUGCUAGGAAACGCGGGCGGUGAACAACUGUCCCGCUUGACCAUGUAGCAGAGGAAGCACCGGCUAAAUACGUGCCAGCAGCCGCGGUAAUACGUAUGGUGCAAACGUUGUUCGGAAUCACUGGGCCUAAAGAGCGCGUAGGCGGCUGAGCAAGUCGGAUGUGAAAUCCCCCGGCUCAACUGGGGAACUGCAUUUGAUACUGCUUGGCUAGAGUGCAGGAGGGGAGAGUGGAAUUCCUGGUGGAGCGGUGAAAUGCGUAGAUAUCAGGAGGAACGCCGGUGGCGAAAGCGACUCUCUGGUCUGCA
rnacentral:rRNA from 1 species